UACAGAGGGGGCAAGCGUUAUUCGGAAUUAUUUGGGCGUAAAGGGCGCGUAGGCGGCCUGACAAGUGGAUGGUGAAAUCCCUCGGCUUAACCGAGGAACUGCCAUCCAGACUGUUUGGCUUGAGACCGGGAGAGGUGAGUGGAAUUCCCAGUGUAGCGGUGAAAUGCGUAGAUAUUGGGAGGAACACCAGUGGCGAAGGCGGCUCACUGGACCGGUACUGACGCUGAUGCGCGAAAGCGUGGGGAGCAAACGGG
rnacentral:rRNA from 1 species